UGUGUUCAUGCUGGGCUGUAGUGCUUAAGCCCAAGCCCAGAAUAUACUGCUUCUCCACUGGUCUGUUCAGCAAUCAGGAGCGAGAAUGCAUGGCAGGAGAAUGAUUACAGAAAUCGGAGUAACUUGAGGUUCGAGUAGCAUUGAAGAAUAUCAUGUAAAAGCAACAAAAACAAAAACAAAACUACAACACUUAUUUAUAAAUAAAUGAAGCAAGCAAGCGCGGAUGUAGGCGGCUGUGAGGCCAGGGAAGAAUGUGGCUUUUGCAUAAAUAGGAAGGAGCAGAAGAAGUUAGAAGAUAAAGGAAGUGAGAGGAAUUGAGCAGGUCAGCAGCUGUCUCACGGUUUUGCAGGGCCUAUUUUGGCAAAUCUGGCAUAUGCGGUCAUGCGUCAAGCUGGACUUUGUGGGGAGUCCUAUAUUUACCAGAGCAGGAGAUAAUGAAGGUGAUGCAGAUGGAACUGAGUCACCAGGCUUUGGGUGCCAUGAGAGACCACAUGGUCUGAUGGGGAGUCAUUUUCUCCAGGAAAGGGAGUGGCUCUUUGCCCUGAUGACUUCCGUUCUGUCCUUGGAUUGUAGGAAAGUAUAUGGGCUGGAAAGAUGAAGUCACGAAUAAGAGAGAGAGAGCAUGAGCAGGGGAGUGGCAGAGAGAGAGGGAGAGAGAGAACCCCAGCAGGCUCCGUGUUGCCAGUACAAAGCCUAAAGUGGGUCUCAAGCUCAUGAACCAUACUAUCAUGACCAAGAUUCCAACGUGUAACUGACUGAACCACCCAGGUGCCCCAAGGUUUCUUUGAUUUUCUCCUCCUCCUCAUUCUGCCUUUCUGUUAUACUACUUAUGUGUUUUUCCGAACUUUGGAGUGCCAAGUGCCAAAACAAUGGGCUUGCUGUGCUGUGGUUCUCCUGAUUAAAACUCCAGUCUUAAAAGUCCCAUGUUUCACCCUAUGGGUCCCAUCAAGACCCCCACAUUUGUGGUGAUGUACAAAAUAUCACUUUCAACAAUCAACUCAUGGUAAAGUUAUAAACCAAGUGUUUGUUCCCUAACGCUAGCAUUCAAAUGAGGUUGACCAUAAUGAAAUAUUGUCAGAUAUAUGAGCUCAAGGAUUUUCUUUCCUACUUCUCAUGUUCCAGGUCUAUUAAAUAAUUGAUGUUCACAACUGAAUGCACAGAGAACCCAUGGAUAUUUAUGUGGUUGAACCAAAAAGCUGAAUAUAGACCUUCCAAACAUAUGACAAUGUAUAAUUUGGGGCUAUCCGACAUGAACUUAAUACUGGAAAAGCAACUGAUGUUUUGCUAAGAACGUAGACUUCAAAUAUACUAGUAUACUUCUAAAUCAGAAGCAGAGUGUUGAAAUAACCUUGGAUCUAUGCUUUCUAUGAUUGCACUUACAACACCAUUUACUGUAGAAUCUAUUGCAAA